rnacentral:rRNA from 1 species
AGUGAGCGCUGGCGGUAGGCCUAACACAUGCAAGUCGAACGGCAGCACAGUAAGAGCUUGCUCUUACGGGUGGCGAGUGGCGGACGGGUGAGGAAUACAUCGGAAUCUACUUUUUCGUGGGGGAUAACGUAGGGAAACUUACGCUAAUACCGCAUACGACCUACGGGUGAAAGCAGGGGAUCUUCGGACCUUGCGCGAUUGAAUGAGCCGAUGUCGGAUUAGCUAGUUGGCGGGGUAAAGGCCCACCAAGGCGACGAUCCGUAGCUGGUCUGAGAGGAUGAUCAGCCACACUGGAACUGAGACACGGUCCAGACUCCUACGGGAGGCAGCAGUGGGGAAUAUUGGGCAAUGGGCGCAAGCCUGAUCCAGCCAUACCGCGUGGGUGAAGAAGGCCUUCGGGUUGUAAAGCCCUUUUGUUGGGAAAGAAAAGCAGCAGGUUAAUACCCCGCUGUUCUGACGGUACCCAAAGAAUAAGCACCGGCUAACUUCGUG